rnacentral:rRNA from 1 species
AGCAGCCGCGGUAAUUCCAGCUCCAAUAGCGUAUAUUAAAGUUGUUGCAGUUAAAAAGCUCGUAGUUGAAUUUCGGGAUCAGUAGGUUGGUCAUACCUCUGGUAUGUACUGGUCUCACUGAUUCCUCCUUCCUGAUGAACUGUAAUGCCAUUAAUUUGGUAUUGCAGGGAAACUGGACUGUUACUUUGAAAAAAUUAGAGUGUUUAAAGCAAGCUAACGCUUGAAUACAUUAGCAUGGAAUAAUGAAAUAGGACGUUCGAUCCUAUUUUGUUGGUUUCUAGGAUUGACGUAAUGAUUAAUAGGGAUAGUUGGGGGCAUUAGUAUUCAAUGGUCAGAGGUGAAAUUCUUGGAUUUAUUGAAGACUAACUACUGCGAAAGCAUUUGCCAAGGAUGUUUUCAUUAAUCAAGAACGAAAGUUAGGGGAUCGAAGACGAUCAGAUACCGUCGUAGUCUUAACCAUAAACUAUGCCGACUAGGGAUCGGAUGAUGUUAAUUUUUUAAUGACUCAUUCGGCGCCUUA